rnacentral:rRNA from 1 species
UGGGGAAUAUUGCACAAUGGAGGGAACUCUGAUGCAGCGACGCCGCGUGAACGAAGAAGGCUUUCGAGUCGUAAAGUUCUUUUAUAUGGGAAGAUAAUGACGGUACCAUAAGAAGAAGCCCCGGCUAACUACGUGCCAGCAGCCGCGGUAAUACGUAGGGGGCUAGCGUUGUCCGGAAUCACUGGGCGUAAAGGGUUCGCAGGCGGAAAUGCAAGUCAGGGGUAAAAGGCAGUAGCUUAACUACUGUAAGCAUUUGAAACUGCAUAUCUUGAGAAGAGUAGAGGUAAGUGGAAUUUUUAGUGUAGCGGUGAAAUGCGUAGAUAGUAAAAAGAAUACCGGUGGCGAAGGGGACUUACUGGGCUCAUUCUGACGCUGAGGAACGAAAGCGUGGGUAGCAAACAGG